GAUGAACGCUGGCGGCGUGCUUAACACAUGCAAGUCGAACGGGAAUUACUUUAUUGAAGCUUCGGUCGAUUUAAUUUAAUUCUAGUGGCGGACGGGUGAGUAACGCGUGGGUAACCUGCCUUAUACAGGGGGAUAACAGUCAGAAAUGGCUGCUAAUACCGCAUAAGCGCACAGUACCGCAUGGUACCGCGUGAAAAACUCCGGUGGUAUGAGAUGGACCCGCGUCUGAUUAGCUAGUUGGUGGGGUAACGGCCUACCAAGGCAACGAUCAGUAGCCGACCUGAGAGGGUGACCGGCCACAUUGGGACUGAGACACGGCCCAA
rnacentral:rRNA from 1 species